CUGAUGUCCGUGAUGAGGACUGAGAUGCAACUGUGUCUGCAUCCAGCUUGAGCUACAUUCAGAUGUAGCUAAAGAAAGAAGCAGCUGAUGUAGGAAGGCAGAGAGUACUGGCAGCAGAGGAAGUGGCAUUCUGGGAGGAUGGCAGCUAUGAGGGGGUGUCAGGAUUUAAUGUGGUGAGGUUGAGACCCCAAGUUCCCCCAACCAGGAGCUCAGUGACGACGGGCCUACACUACAGGAGAGAUGUCGGGCCUGUCCUGAAUGCAGCAUAAUGUUUGAUCAUGUUUGGACAAAAAAACACUGCCAGAUAGUCCAGAAAUGGACAAGCAUUUAUG